rnacentral:miRNA from 1 species
UUGGUGAUCAUAAGUACAUAA